rnacentral:rRNA from 1 species
UGGUGGGGUAACGGCUCACCAAGGCGACGAUCUAUAGCCGAGCUGAGAGGCUGAUCGGCACAUUGAACUGAGACACGGUCCAGACUCCUACGGGAGGCAGCAGCUAAGAAUCUUCCGCAAUAACGAAAGUCUGACGGAGCGACGCCGCGUGAAUGAUGAGGCCCUUCGGGUGUAAAGUUCUUUUAUAGGGGAAGAAAGUUUGGUGUAGGCCAAUCUGACGGUACCCUCUGAAUAAGGUCCGGCUAACUACGUGCCAGCAGCCGCGGUAAUACGUGGGGACCUAGCGUUGUUCGGAAUUAUUGGGCGUAAAGGGUACGUAGGCGGCUUAGUAAGUCGGAUGUGAAAGUCUCGGGCUCAACCUGAGGAUUGCGUCCGAUACUGCUGAGCUAGAGUUAUGGAGAGGAAGGCGGAAUUCCUGGUGUAGGGGUGAGAUCUAUAGAUAUCAGGAAGAACAUCGGUUGCGAAGGCUGCCUUCUGGACAUAAACUGACGCUGAUGUACGAAAGUUAGGGUAGCAAACAUGAUUAGAGACCCUGGUAGUCCUAACCGUAAACGUUGUAUACUAGGUGGUGGGAGUAAUGAUCCUUUCACUGCCGGAGCUAACGCAUUAAGUAUACCGCCUGGGGAGUAUGCCGGCAACGGUGAAACUCAAAGGAAUUGACGGGGGCCCGCACAAGCAGUGGAGCAUGUUGUUUAAUUCGAUGAUACGCGAGUAACCUUACCAGGUCUUGACAUAUACUUGAAUGGCAUGGAAACAUGUCAGCUUUUCGGAGCAGGUAUACAGGUGCUGCAUGGUUGUCGUCAGCUCGUGCCGUGAGGUGUUGGGUUAAGUCCCGCAACGAGCGCAACCCUUAUUCUUUGUUGCUAACGUGUAAUGGCGAGCACUCUAAGGAGACUGCCGGUGACAAACCGGAGGAAGGUGGGGAUGACGUCAAAUCAUCACGGCCCUUACGACCUGGGCUACAAACGUGCUACAAUGGGCAGUACAAAGAGUAGCGAUACCGCGAGGUGGGGCCAAUCUCAAAAAGCUGUCCUCAGUUCGGAUUGGAGUCUGAAACCCGACUCCAUGAAGCUGGAAUUGCUAGUAAUCGCACAUCAUCAUGGUGCGGUGAUACGCUCCCGGGCCUUGUACACACCGCCCGUCACAUCACCCGAAUUGAUUAUACCCNGAAGUAACCGAGCUAACCCGUAAGGGAGGCAG